GGACGGGUGAGUAACGCGUGAGUAACCUGCCUCUAAGAGGGGAAUAACAUUCUGAAAAGAAUGCUAAUACCGCAUAACAUAUAUUUAUCGCAUGGUAGAUAUAUCAAAGAUUUAUCGCUUAGAGAUGGACUCGCGUCCGAUUAGUUAGUUGGUGAGGUAACGGCUCACCAAGACUGCGAUCGGUAGCCGGACUGAGAGGUUGAACGGCCACAUUGGGACUGAGACACGGCCCAGACUCCUACGGGAGGCAGCAGUGGGGGAUAUUGCGCAAUGGGGGAAACCCUGACGCAGCAACGCCGCGUGAAGGAUGAAGGUCUUCGGAUUGUAAACUUCUUUUAUUAAGGACGAAGAAAGUGACGGUACUUAAUGAAUAAGCUCCGGCUAACUACGUGCCAGCAGCCGC
rnacentral:rRNA from 1 species